rnacentral:rRNA from 1 species
UACGUAGGGUGCGAGCGUUGUCCGGAAUUAUUGGGCGUAAAGAGCUUGUAGGCGGUUUGUCGCGUCUGCUGUGAAAAUCCGGGGCUCAACCCCGGACUUGCAGUGGGUACGGGCAGACUAGAGUGGGGUAGGGGAGACUGGAAUUCCUGGUGUAGCGGUGGAAUGCGCAGAUAUCAGGAGGAACACCGAUGGCGAAGGCAGGUCUCUGGGCCACGACUGACGCUGAGAAGCGAAAGCAUGGGGAGCGAACAGG